GGUGUGGUCGUGCACCCUCAUGUCGUGCGGCGGGGUGAUGUCCGCGGGCUCCCGGCGCGUACCGCGACCGCUGCCCGGCCGCGCUC
rnacentral:tRNA from 1 species